rnacentral:lncRNA from 1 species
UCUGCCAACACCUUGAUCUCAGAUUUCUAGCCUCCAAAGCUCUUGCAAUACAGCACUUCUCCUGAGGCAGGGGGCCAAGAAGCUACAUCUGAGAUGUUGCAAAGACUCCUGAUGCAAUUACUGUUUGGAUAAAUGCUACAUUACUUCAUUUGUGUACUUUAAGUAAACUGGGUCUAUUCAGUGUUCUAUGAGUCUUCUUUCUAAUUUCUAACCCAGGACAAAUUGAAAUUCAGUCAGUCCUUGUGUAAGGCACAGGAUUUAUAUUUAAUGUAUCAAACAAAGUAAAAAAUAUGUAUGUAUCUAUUUCUUUCUGGAAAACAAUUAUGGGCAUUAACAAACCCAUGUAUAACUGUAUGCUACUUUCCCAAUUAAAAUAUUCCCAAAGGUUCUCCCUUUCUUGAUGGUGAUUAGCCGUGAAAUAAAAGGAUAACUUGUCCUCACUAACCCCUAGCUCAUAAAUGACUGUGGAAAAUGUGGUCUACGAUGUUUGUACUACUAACUAAACUUAAUCCACCUUCUUCCUUCCCUUACUCCCUCUCCCUCUUUUUCUAUCUUACCUUCUCUUCCACAUUUGUCUCUCUCAACCAGUCUUUCUUUUGUUUUUUUCUAUCCGUCUCUCUAUGCAAGCCACCAGCAAUAGGGAUUUUAGAUGUAUUUUUAUCACA